UCCAUUGUUUUAGGUGGUAGCGCUGUCCUCUAUAUGGAGCAAGAAAUCCGUCGCAAUUCUUGUACCCAGCAUCCACAAGAUAGUAGCAGCCUAUGUUGCACAAAUCACAGUUUAUUUUCUUAUAAUCAUUUUGUGUAUAUUGACAGUAUUGUGAACUUGGUAAAUAUCGUUCACCACGAGGAACCUUGAGACCAUUUGGCCUUGCCAAGGCAUCUUGGAGCACCCUUGCACCAACAGCUGACCCUUCCCAACCAUAUGUGAAUUAAAUGUGAGGCGCACAAGAACCUAAGACAUUUGUGGCAAUUUCAUUCUUCCUUGAACGGUACUCCCUCCAUCCCAAAUUAUAAGUCAUUCCAAGAAUUUUGGAGAGUCAAAGUAUAUCAAGUUUGACCAAAUUUAUAUGAUAAUAUAAUAAUAUUUAUGAUGUCAACUAAGUAUCAUUAGGUUCUUCAUCAAUUAUAUUUUCAUAGUAUACCUAUUUGAUGUCAUAAUUUUUUAUAAUUUUCUCUAUAAUUUUGCUCAAACUUGAGAUGCUUUGACUCUUCAAGAUUCUUGGAAUGACUUAUAAUUUGGAAUGGAGGGAGUACCUUGGUUUAUCAACUGCUGGGACUCUAACUUUUAUGUAGGUACCAUCUAGAGCACAAUUCUGUUGUAACAGAAGUAUCUUGUUAGUAUGUGUUGGGAAAAUUCUAAUACAGUACAUUCUAUUUAAUCCAGUUUCACCUUAAACCAUUUCCACCUUUCUUCCUUGUAGUUGUCUGUGGCUGGCUGAGGGCUCUUAAACAGCACCUUCCAAAGCUUUAGCACUGCUCCUAGCACAUUAUUAAAGUGACGACUUAUGGUCUCUUGAGAUCGCUGGUAAUCUGUCGUCAUGGAGCGACUUUUCUCGUCGUAAGCUAGUACAUGUAGGAACAUUGGAACCAUUUCCUCGACCUUGACAUUUCUAGUAUCCCUCAAUCCCCCAAUAUCUAUGACCAAUGAACACAAAGCCCAAAAACAGCGCCUAUCCAUCCGUAGUUGCUGAACACACAGGAUGUCACUUUGAGAGAUGAUCGACUUUGUGGGUCAAACCUACAAGGCUCUCUGAUAAGCCUAAGCUGAUGCUUUGUAAUCAAUAAGAAGCAAUGCAG
rnacentral:lncRNA from 1 species